rnacentral:rRNA from 1 species
GACGUAGGUGGCGAACGUUAUCCGGAAUUAUUGGGCGUAAAGGGUGCGUAGGCGGCGCGGUAAGUCGGGUGUGAAAUCUUGGAGCUUAACUCCGAAACUGCAUUCGAUACUGCCGUGCUUGAGGACUGGAGAGGAGACUGGAAUUUACGGUGUAGCGGUGAAAUGCGUAGAUAUCGUAAGGAAGACCAGUGGCGAAGGCGGGUCUCUGGACAGUUCCUGACGCUGAGGCACGAAGGCCAGGGGAGCAAACGGG